AGAGAACGCUGGCGGCGUGCUUAACACAUGCAAGUCGAACGAUGAAGCCUAGCUUGCUAGGUGGAUUAGUGGCGAACGGGUGAGUAAUACGUGAGUAACCUACCUUUAACUCUGGGAUAAGCCUGGGAAACUGGGUCUAAUACCGGAUACGACCAAUCUCCGCAUGGGGUGUUGGUGGAAAGCGUUAUGUAGUGGUUAUAGAUGGGCUCACGGCCUAUCAGCUUGUUGGUGAGGUAACGGCUCACCAAGGCGACGACGGGUAGCCGGCCUGAGAGGGUGACCGGCCACACUGGGACUGAGGCACGGCCCAGACUCCUACGGGAGGCAGCAGUGGGGAAUAUUGCACAAUGGGCGCAAGCCUGAUGCAGCGACGCCGCGUGAGGGAUGACGGCCUUCGGGUUGUAAACCUCUGUUAGCAGGGAAGAAGAGAGAUUGACGGUACCUGCAGAGAAAGCGCCGGCUAACUACGUG
rnacentral:rRNA from 1 species